UUGGAAAAAGCCAAAUCUACCGUGAGGUAGAGACGGAAAGCCACGGAACUUAAAAACGGUAGAUGGUGGCUGUGAUUAGUAAAAUAGCUAAUUACUAAUUACUAAUUACUAUUUACUGUUUUAAAGUUAGCCGGGUUGCCGAAG
rnacentral:ncRNA from 1 species